rnacentral:misc_RNA from 1 species
UUGCCUUAUAGGUCUGGGAAAUAAACAAGUAAGAAAUGAGAAAUCGACCACACAGCAGAACAAAACCAAUAGAAAGAGGUACAACUAAUCCAAUACGCUCGGGAUUGAGAAAAUGAGACUAUCAAAGAGCCCUAGAUUGCUAUGACCGGAUUCUGAGAAGGAAAGCAAAAGCGUAAGCUAUGAGCCAUGGAACCUGUUCAGUUUUUUCUCUUGAUUAGCUGCCAUGAAUAAAUCUCAAUCUCGUAAAGAUUUGUCCGUUUGGUACAACGGAGACCUCCAUUUACCCAUCUGAAUGGUUCUCUGCGAAGAAAUAGAUGAUUGAGCAUUUUCUUUUUCUUUGCUUAAGCCACUAAAUGGACUAUGAAGCACGGUAAUUUUACUAAUAAAAUGUAACCGGAGGUUGUCCUUCGUGAUAAUAAACGCAGUCCAUUUCAUGCAUAGUCCUAUCAACACAGUAUGACACACAACUCCGGUAGCCUUCCCCCAUAAGAGGAAGAUCAAAAUAAAAGCAGUACUGAUUAUCUGCAGAUGUUCAUGGAUUGUCAUUGCUCUCACAAACAAAUGAAAUUUUACAUGCAAUCUCAUUAAAGCAACAAAAAUAAUCUACUUGGAUAAAGAUUUUUCUUUGGAAUGCUGCAAGUAUUUUGCUAGAUUCUCUCUCAAGGUUCUUCCCAGCGGAUCAACUUGCUUAGAGAAUUCUUCUCCAUAACCAGAGUCAUGAUGACCAGACAAAGCAACAUCAGGAUGCAGCUGAUCUCCAUUGUCAAUUAUAAUAUUGUGAAGUAAACAACAUACCAGGAUGAUACUUGGUAGUUUCCUUUUAUCUGGUCUCCACAUUACCUUGUUAAGGAUUCUCCAACUGCCCUUUAGCUGCAAGAAUGACUUCACUGCAAGCGACCUUGCUGCCUCAUGAAUUGUAUUGAAAGUGGACACUGAAUCUGAUUGUUCAUCACUUCCAUCAGGAGUUAUGAGCCAUGGAAGUAGAGGAUAACUAACUCCACCAACAAUAUAUUCUCUGAUCUCAACUCCUUCAGCUAAUUUUCUUAGACUUCCAUUCAAACGUUCUCCAUUCUCACAGAGUUUAAAAAUUCCAGAACACUUCAAUAAUCUAGACACCGUCAUGCCCCCAGGCCAACCUGUAACGAUAUUAAGAAAUCUCAUCUCAUGGUCAACAAUUCCCUGCAAGAACAUGCUGUAAUUGUUCUCUUGGUCACACCAAUCAUCGGAGGUUUCCACUGCUGGAAGGGUCAUAAUAAUGUGCGUUGCAUCAAUAGCUCCACAGCAAUUUUGCAACCCAAACAAUUCUUCAAAUUUGGACUUAAUGUCCUCCAUUCUACUGGAAUCAGGCCACUUAAGAUGGUGCUUGGCCCGUUCUUCCAAUGCUUCAAUAAAUCUCCAAGUCACUUGAGACACAGUAGACUGACCAACACCAAAGGCGGCCCCAACUGAGACUUGAGACUCACCUGAUGCCAACCUUCUUAAAGCAAUAGCCACCUGUUUCUCCACGCUAAGAAGUCUUCCCUCAAUGUUGAUAAGCCCAGAUGGUGGCCUUGAUAUAAGAUCUUCCCUUACUAGGAAACAAAUGUAUUCAAAAGUCUUCUUUGAGACCCUGAAGAAAUAUUUGAAUGCUUCUUCCUCAUUGGAUGGUAUUAAAGCAUCUACAAGGUUAAAUUCAAAUGUAUAAAUACAUGUAAAACCAACAACAAAAAAAAUCUAAUUCCAAAAUUUUCCAAAUUUAAUAUCUUCAACACUCUGCAACAAGACUUUGGAAAGUUUCAAUUAUUCUUCAUUCCACACAUAAAAGGCCUAAAGUUGCCAGAUAAUAAGCAGAUUAUUUCUAACUCAAAUAAACCCACUUAAAUUCUCAAUCCUUCAGCUAAUCAAUGAAUCAUAAUCUCACGAAAAUUAACAGCAUAAAUGAAAACCAUCACCAAUGUGUACAGCGCAAAUCAAAUUCCACGGCUAUAUGGGCAUUUGCAGUCUCAGUGAACCCACUAACAGUAAAAUGCCGAAGUCAAAAUUCAUGGACCAUUGGGAACAAAUGAGAAAAUUAGAACAAGAAGAAAAAUAGUGCUUAAAUUUUACGAAAGUCAAAAGAGAGAAGGCUAGAGAGAGAAAGAGAGAGAAAGAGGGAGACUCACGACGGAUGGGAGGCAUUCGAGGA